GAAACCUCUUCGAUGGCCUAGUGGUUAGAACGUCCGCCUAGGACGAGGGAUGUCGUGGGCUCGAUCCCCGGUCGAUUCA